rnacentral:misc_RNA from 1 species
AACGCAAAUUGCACUCCUUGGCAUCCCGGGGAGUAUGCCUGUUUGAGGGUCAGUAUAUUAAAAAUCGGUGCGUCGCAUGAUGCUCCGGAGUAUGGGUCAUCUUAACUGUUGAAGGUUUUAAGAGGCUUAAAAUUGACAUCCUUUCGCGCAUUUUUAGACGUACAUAAAUUUAUUUUUAUUCGUCUAUCCUGAUGCCGAAGUUUUAUUAGAUGCGAUCAUAUAUUAUAUGGUCUCGUGUCUAUAAGUUUAUCAUGAUUUGACCUCAAAUCAGGUAGGAGUACCCGCUGAACUUAA